CUUCACCGACCCGAGCCACAACGGCCGAUCGGCAGGCCUGCCCUGUCCAUACGUCGCCAGCAGGGCCUGCGCCUC
rnacentral:antisense_RNA from 2 species